rnacentral:rRNA from 1 species
GGAUAACCUGCCCUUGGGACCGGCAUAACCCCGGGAAACUGGGGAUAAUUCCGGAUAACGCAUAUUUGCUGGAAUGCUUUAUGCGUCAAAAGGAUUCGUCUGCCCAAGGAUGGGUCUGCGGCCUAUCAGGUAGUAGUGGGUGUAAUGUACCUACUAGCCAGCGACGGGUACGGGUUGUGAGAGCAAGAGCCCGGAGAUGGAUUCUGAGACAUGAAUCCAGGCCCUACGGGGCGCAGCAGGCGCGAAAACUUUACAAUGCGGGAAACCGUGAUAAGGGGACACCGAGUGCCAGCAUCAUAUGCUGGCUGUCCGGAUGUGUAAAAUACAUCCGUUAGCAAGGGCCGGGCAAGACCGGUGCCAGCCGCCGCGGUAACACCGGCGGCCCGAGUGGUGAUCGUGAUUAUUGGGUCUAAAGGGUCCGUAGCCGGUUUGGUCAGUCCUCCGGGAAAUCUGAUAGCUCAACUAUUAGGCUUUCGGGGGAUACUGCCAGACUUGGAACCGGGAGAGGUAAGAGGUACUACAGGGGUAGGAGUGAAAUCUUGUAAUCCCUGUGGGACCACCUGUGGCGAAGGCGUCUUACCAGAACGGGUUCGACGGUGAGGGACGAAAGCUGGGGGCACGAACCGGAUUAGAUACCCGGGUAGUCCCAGCCGUAAACGAUGCUCGCUAGGUGUCAGGCAUGGCGCGACCGUGUCUGGUGCCGCAGGGAAGCCGUGAAGCGAGCCACCUAGGAAGUACGGCCGCAAGGCUGAAACUUAA